rnacentral:rRNA from 1 species
AUACGGAGGGGGCUAGCGUUGUUCGGAAUUACUGGGCGUAAAGCGCGCGUAGGCGGCUUAUCAAGUUAGGCGUGAAGGGCCUGGGCUCAACCCGGGAACUGCGCUUAAUACUGGUAGACUUGAGUCCGGGAGAGGGUGGCGGAAUUCCCAGUGUAGAGGUGAAAUUCGUAGAUAUUGGGAAGAACACCAGUGGCGAAGGCGGCCACCUGGCCCGGUACUGACGCCGAGGUGCGAAAGCGUGGGGAGCAAACAGGAUUAGAUACCCCGGUAGUCC